UACGAAGGGGGCUAGCGUUACUCGGAUUGACUGGGCGUAAAGGGCGCGUAGGCGGUUUGUACAGUCAGGCGUGAAAGCCCCGGGCUCAACCUGGGAGGUGCGCUUGAUACUCGAGGGCUUGAGUGCGGGAGAGGAGAGUGGAAUUCCCAGUGUAGAGGUGAAAUUCGUAGAUAUUGGGAAGAACACCGGUGGCGAAGGCGGCUCUCUGGACCGUAACUGACGCUGAGGCGCGAAAGCGUGGGGAGCAAACAGG
rnacentral:rRNA from 1 species